AUUGAACGCUGGCGGCAUGCUUUACACAUGCAAGUCGAACGGUAACAGGCCGCAAGGUGCUGACGAGUGGCGAACGGGUGAGUAAUGCAUCGGAACGUGCCCAGUCGUGGGGGAUAACUACUCGAAAGAGUAGCUAAUACCGCAUACGAUCUAUGGAUGAAAGCGGGGGACCGUAAGGCCUCGCGCGAUUUGAGCGGCCGAUGUCAGAUUAGGUAGUUGGUGGGGUAAAGGCUCACCAAGCCAACGAUCUGUAGCUGGUCUGAGAGGACGACCAGCCACACUGGAACUGAGACACGGCCCAGACUCCUACGGGAGGCAGCAGUGGGGAAUUUUGGACAAUGGGCGCAAGCCUGAUCCAGCAAUGCCGCGUGCAGGAAGAAGGCCUUCGGGUUGUAAACUGCUUUUGUACGGAACGAAACGGCUCUGGUUAAUACCCGGGGCUAAUGACGGUACCGUAAGAAUAAGCACCGGCUAACUACGUG
rnacentral:rRNA from 1 species